AAGGCUUUCCCACACUUAUUAUUCUGAUGGCCUUUGGAGUGACUGUGGAUUCUCUGAUGGUGUGUGAGGAGCAAGGUCUGA
rnacentral:pre_miRNA from 1 species